ensembl:lncRNA
AUGGACAUUGUACAAGUCAUGAUUCAUAAAAUAAGCGCAUACCAUAAUGAAACAUUUUCUUUUAUCCUAUCUCUGCUUUUUUUAGUCACAUCGGUGCCAGUAACAGAUGCUAGUAUAUCAGAUGACUCAAGUUUUAAAUGUUGGUGUCCUGAGAUUUUCAGUCCAAACCAGAGACUGAUGACAUGCGGGGCAAGAUGGAGUGAGAGAACAGAUGAUGACGUGUUACCUGAAAGAAAGAUCUCUAUCCAUUCAACUGACUCAGGAUAUGCUUCAAGAAUAUGCAAAGGUAUUUUCCCCAUCCCUGAAAAUGAUGCAAGAAUCAGGCAACACCCACAAUUCAGUCCCAAACAACGACGGACGAAAUGUAGUGCAGAAUGGGGUGAAAGAACUUGAUGACAUGUGUGAGUAUCCACUUAAACUGAGUAUAAAGUUUUACAUUACAUUUAUAAUUCAUAGUUUAAUAUUAAAAAAAGCAACAACAACAGUUAAUCUAAAUGUCUUUCCAACAACUUCUUCCAGCACCAACAAUUCAUUUGACUCAGGAUAAAUUAAAUGUCCAUCCCUGAAAAUGCCAAACAGAACAAACAAAAAAAAUGUGUCAACUACGAAUAAGACCAGCAGUUUAGACAAAGUUGAUUGUCCACUCCAGGUGCCACUAUGACCGGCCAUUAAUUGAGAGAUCACUUACAUACUGAAUCAUCAAAGAACAUUUUCUCAAUUAGUAAACAGUAGUGAGGCACUUUACACUGAGCAGAUUUCUGAAAUGAAAUUUAACUGAAUAUCCAUUAUCCAUGAAUAUUUAUCAUAAUAUGGUAUAUAGCAUAUUUAAUAUAACAUGUAUAUAACAUAUAACUAAUGAUCUGCUAAGCAUUUUAUGAUGUUUGUUCAUGUUAUUAAAGUUGUAAAGCGCUCUCAGUAUAACUUUUAUGAAAAGCACGUAAACUACCCCACAUUUCACACUGGGGUCUCUAUAUCAUCAUUUAUAAGUUCUUCUAAGGUCAAGGCUUAGUCCAUGAAAAUAAUUUGUAUGUGUCAUGAUUCUGCCCUCUUGUCCUUGAUUUUCUCUAGUCUUGAGGCAGGAUCAUGACAGACACGUGUUUUGUGUGCAAGCACAUGGCCUUGUCUUUGGGUCAUGUGCUUGUGUUGUCUCGUUCCCUUGCCCCGCCCCCUUGUUAUCCUCGUUUUGUCAUUAUUGCUUUACCUGUGUCACCUGUUAUGUUAUCAUUAGUCUCCCUAUUUCAAUCCCCUUGUGUUCGCUGUCUGGUGCGGUUCAUUGUUGCACAUUGUCAAACCUGUGGAUUGUAUUGCUGUUGUGUGAUAACCAGAGUGAAGAGUCUUUUUGUUUUACUGUGGGUAUUCAGUCUAGUCAGAGUCUUGUUAAGUGUUUGUCUUU